rnacentral:rRNA from 1 species
AUACAUGCAAGUCGAGCGAACAGACGAGGAGCUUGCUCCUCUGACGUUAGCGGCGGACGGGUGAGUAACACGUGGAUAACCUACCUAUAAGACUGGGAUAACUUCGGGAAACCGGAGCUAAUACCGGAUAAUAUAUUGAACCGCAUGGUUCAAUAGUGAAAGACGGUUUUGCUGUCACUUAUAGAUGGAUCCGCGCCGCAUUAGCUAGUUGGUAAGGUAACGGCUUACCAAGGCAACGAUGCGUAGCCGACCUGAGAGGGUGAUCGGCCACACUGGAACUGAGACACGGUCCAGACUCCUACGGGAGGCAGCAGUAGGGAAUCUUCCGCAAUGGGCGAAAGCCUGACGGAGCAACGCCGCGUGAGUGAUGAAGGUCUUCGGAUCGUAAAACUCUGUUAUUAGGGAAGAACAAAUGUGUAAGUAACUAUGCACGUCUUGACGGUACCUAAUCAGAAAGCCACGGCUA